CGUAAGGCGCCGAAUGAGUCAUUAAAAAAUUAACAUCAUCCGAUCCCUAGUCGGCAUAGUUUAUGGUUAAGACUACGACGGUAUCUGAUCGUCUUCGAUCCCCUAACCUUCGUUCUUGAUUAAUGAAAACAUCCUUGGCAAAUGCUUUCGCAGUAGUUAGUCUUCAAUAAAUCCAAGAAUUUCACCUCUGACAAUUGAAUACUAAUGCCCCCAACUAUCCCUAUUAAUCAUUACGUCAAUCCUAGAAACCAACAAAAUAAGAUCGAACGUCCUAUUUCAUUAUUCCAUGCUAAUGUAUUCAAGCGUUAGCUUGCUUUAAACACUCUAAUUUUUCAAAGUAACAGUCCAAAUUCCUCGCAACACCAAAUUAAUGGCAUUACGGUUCAUAAGGAAGGAGGAAUCAGUGAGACCAGUACAUACCAGAGGCAUGACCAACCUACUAACCCCGAAAUUCAACUACGAGCUUUUAACUGCAACAACUUUAAUAUACGCUAUUGGAGCUGGAAUUACCGCGGCUGCU
rnacentral:rRNA from 1 species